rnacentral:lncRNA from 1 species
GGUGGUGGCACCUGCAGACCAGGCCGAGGCUAAUCAGAAGUAAACCUAGAGAUGGGUUGAGGGGACUUUACUAGGGACCCCUAGAGAUGGAAGACGUGGGAGAAGAGAAAUUGCCCCACUCAAAUCUCUUCCUACAAAUGCUCUGGAGCACCUCUUGAAGGCUCCAUGUGCUGAGGUGGACCCCAAAUCCUGCCAGAUGCCAUCACUUAUCCUCCUUUGGACACCUGCACAAAUAUUCCUGGGCCCAGUCUCCUGUUGAGGUCAUUCCUCGUGCCACUGCUUCUGUGUGGCCUCUAAAAACUGAGGGCAACUCCCUCAGCCCCUCUGCUUUUCCUUCAUUAGCAACCCUGCAAUACAAUGAUAAAGACAGGGAUGCACUGCACAGUUCUGACAGAAAUGGGACCCAUCCUGGGGUUGUCUGGGCUGUUGAAGUACUUUCCCUGGGUUGGAGCAUUUCACAUUAAUGAGAAUCUUUUCCCUGAAACUAGACAACUUGCUUCUGGCCGGCUUGUCCUUCAUUGUCCUCAGGGGGCUGUGAGAGUGGGCACCAGCACUCUGUGCUCCUCCUUCAAGCCUUCUACUGACAGCUUCCUCUCCUCCUAUCUUCCUGUCCCAGCCCCUCUGCAUUCUAAUGUGUCUGCCCUGUCCAUGUGAAGGCUCAUGUUGUCUGAACCAGAGAAUGAUUUAGAUCAGAUUGAUCUUAGAGGAUAAUCCUGUCUCUUGGGUGACAACCCUUUCAGACUGCUAGGAGGGAUUGGUGGGACUGGGUUGGAACUGAAUGACCUUGUGUUAAGCCCUCAUCUUUUCCACCCCUCCCAGCCUCUGCUCUGCAUCACACCUCGGGGUGUGUGAAGAUCCACCCCCACUGGAAGGGCCAGAUGUCAUUGUGCCUAUUCUCAAGGAUGAUGGAUCCUACAUGCUCUGUGCAGUUUGGAUGGAUGAUCCUGAAGCGCCAGUCCAGGCCUGUGCUGGGGCCUGGCACCCUACAGCCCAGCAGCCCAUCUGCUGUGCUGAGGCCAUUGUGGUGAAAGAUGCCACCUACCAAAAAGAGAAAGUCAUGUUGGCAACUGCUGAUUGGGCUGAGGCUACCUCCAGGGUGUGUGGAGAUCCACCCCCACUGGAAGGGCCAGAUGUCAUUGUGCCUAUCCUCAAGGAUGAUGGAUCCUACUUGCUCUGUGGAUACUGGGCAGAUGAGCCUGAAGCACCAGUCCAGGCCUGGGCUGGGGCUCUGCACCCUACAGCCCAGCAGCCCAUCUGCUGUGCGGAGGCCAUUGUGGUGGAAGAUAGCUCCAGCCAGAAGGAGAAAAUAGAGGUGGCAUCUGCAGAGCAGACUGAGGCCAUACCCAGGGUGGGUGGAGAUCCACCCCCACUGGAAGGGCCAGAUGUCAUCGUGCCUAUCCUCAAGGAUGACGGAUCCUACCUGCUCUGUGCAUAUUGGGCAGAUGAGCCUGAAGCCCCAGUCCAGGCCUGGGCUGGGGCCCUGCACCCUACAGCCCAGCAGCCCAUCUGCUGUGCUGAGGCCAUUCUCGUGGAAGAGCCCUCAUCACAAGAGGAGGAAGGGAAGGUGGCACGUGCAGACCAGGCUGAGGCUAAUCAGAGGGUGUGUGGAGAUCCACCCCCACUGGAAGGGCCAGAUGUCAUUGUGCCUAUCCUCAAGGAUGAUGGAUCCUACCUGCUCUGUGGAUACUGGGCAGAUGAGCCUGAAGCACCAGCCCAGGUCUGGGCUGAGGCCUUGCAUGCAAAAACUCAGCAGCCCAUCUGCUGUGCUGAGGCUUUUUGGGCUAUCUACACAGUCCAACCAUCUGUCAUGGACUGGAAGCCAAGGACCUCAUAGUGGGUGAUCCCAGCAGUGAGCCUGAGCCCAGGCACAUUUUUCCCCACCCCCACCUUCUGCCAGUCAGGCAAACUGCCCACAUGGAAACCUACCCUCAAGCUGAUUGGAGAGGCAUAUGGGCGCCAGUGUCAGUUCUGUCCUAUAGUUAGUGUUCCCCAGAGUUAGUUGCACCCCUUCUCUUUCUCCCUGCCCUUUAAAAAGUGUACAUGCUGCAAAUAAAGUUGGACAUGGUCACUGCA